rnacentral:tRNA from 1 species
UGCCGGAAUAGCUCAGUUGGUAGAGCAGAGGACUGAAAAUCCUCGUGGU